rnacentral:tRNA from 1 species
CCGGGUGUAGUUCAGCUGAUAGAACGCGUGGUUUGGGACCACGAGGCCGAGAGUUUGAGUCUCUCCACUCGGACCA